rnacentral:rRNA from 1 species
GAUGAACGCUGGCGGCGUGCUUAACACAUGCAAGUCGAACGAGAAUUUGCGACGGACCCCUUCGGUCGGAAGACUUUGUUUCGAUUGUCGGACGGUUGAGUACCCCUUGGUUAGCCUUCCUCCUACAGGAGGAUAACUGUUGCUAACUACUGUUAAUACCGCCUAAGACCACGGCACCGCAUGUUUCGGUGGUAAAAACUCCGGUGGUAUGAUAUGGACCCGCGUUCGAUUAGCUAGUUGGCGGGGUAACGGCCCACCAAAGCGACGAUCGAGAGGCGGAGUGAGAGGAUGAACAGCGACACUGGGACAGAGACAAGGCCCAAACGCCUAGGAGAGGCAGGAGUGGGGAAAAAUGCAGAAUGGGGGAAAUCCUGAUGCAGCGAGGGAGGGUGAGUGAAGAAGGAGUUGGGUAUGUAAAGCUGUAGCAGAAGGGAAGAAAAUGACGGUACCUGAGGAAGAAGCCCCGGCUAACUACGUG